UUUAACUGAAGAGUUUGAUCAUGGCUCAGAUUGAACGCUGGCGGCAGGCUUAACACAUGCAAGUCGAGCGGGGGAAGGUAGCUUGCUACUGGACCUAGCGGCGGACGGGUGAGUAAUGCUUAGGAAUCUGCCUAUUAGUGGGGGACAACAUCUCGAAAGGGAUGCUAAUACCGCAUACGUCCUACGGGAGAAAGCAGGGGAUCUUCGGACCUUGCGCUAAUAGAUGAGCCUAAGUCGGAUUAGCUAGUUGGUGGGGUAAAGGCCUACCAAGGCGACGAUCUGUAGCGGGUCUGAGAGGAUGAUCCGCCACACUGGGACUGAGACACGGCCCAGACUCCUACGGGAGGCAGCAGUGGGGAAUAUUGGACAAUGGGG
rnacentral:rRNA from 1 species